rnacentral:tRNA from 1 species
GAUCCCUUAGCUCAGUUGGUAGAGCGCCGGACUGUUAAUCCGAAGGUCGUUGGUUCGAAACCAUCAGGGAUCGCCA